rnacentral:rRNA from 1 species
UGCCAGCAGCCGCGGUAAUACGGAGGGUGCUAGCGUUGUUCGGAAUUACUGGGCGUAAAGGGCGCGUAGGCGGCUUUUUAAGUUGGAAGUGAAAUCCCGGGGCUCAACCUCGGAACUGCUUUCAAAACUGAAUCGCUAGAGUUAUGUAGAGGAUAGUGGAAUUCCCAAUGUAGAGGUGAAAUUCGUAGAUAUUGGGAGGAACACCAGAAGCGAAGGCGACUAUCUGGGCAUUAACUGACGCUGAGGCGCGAAAGUGUGGGGAGCAAACAGGAUUAGAUA